AUGGAAGAACAUCAUGCGUGGAUGGCUCCAGAAAUGAUAGAAUCAGAUCAGAGGACAUAGGCAUGGGGAUGGUGCACAGCCGCGAUGGCCAGGUAGGUCUUCAAAGUCGGCAAUGUAUCAUGCAGACCGCAACCACUGCAAUUGCAUAUCGUUCAUUUUCGAGUUGUCAAGCCUUCUAUAUAGAUUUUCAUCGAAGGAUUUUCUACUUGAUGGGCAGAGAGUAAUGGGAAGUUGGAUCUCAAGGCUGUUGAAGUUUUGCACUCAAUAGAAGUACACGGCUAUAGGGAGAAGGAGUUGGUCACGAUGAAAGGGGGCAAGAGGCUCAGGGUGUCAUGCCGGUCCGGACCAGCGGGGAUGGCCUCCGAUUUGGCAACUGUUACAACGGCCAUGUAGUCAAAUAAGUAAUCGCUGCAUCAUAAGAAUACAUGAUUAUGGAAUCAUUAAGAAAAAUAAUUAUGCGUGACGGUGUUACUGAAAAAGCAUUCCCUUUUCGUUACGUUUACUACAAUCAAUCAGGACAAAACAAAAGUUAUUGGGUGCCAAAUUAAACCAUGAUGAAU